rnacentral:rRNA from 1 species
UACGGAGGGGACUAGCGUUGUUCGGAAUUACUGGGCGUAAAGCGCACGUAGGCGGAUUUGUAAGUCAGGGGUGAAAUCCCGAGGCUCAACCUCGGAACUGCCUUUAAGACUGCAUCGCUUGAACGUCGGAGAGGUAAGUGGAAUUCCGAGUGUAGAGGUGAAAUUCGUAGAUAUUCGGAAGAACACCAGUGGCGAAGGCGACUUACUGGACGACUGUUGACGCUGAGGUGCGAAAGCGUGGGGAGCAAACAGG